CCCUACGGGGGGCAGCAGUCGAGAAUAAUUCACAAUGGGGGCAACCCUGAUGGUGCAACGCCGCGUGGAGGAUGAAGGUCUUCGGAUUGUAAACUCCUGUCAUCCGGGAGCAAGACCUGACGGUGAAUAGCCGGCAGGGUUGAUAGUACCGGAAGAGGAAGGGACGGCUAACUUCGUGCCAGCAGCCGCGGUAAUACGAAGGUCCCGAGCGUUGUUCGGAAUCACUGGGCGUAAAGGGAGCGUAGGCGGUUUGGUAAGUCAGAUGUGAAAUCCCGGGGCUCAACCCCGGAACUGCAUCCGAUACUGCCGGACUUGAGUUUUGGAGAGGUAGCUGGAAUUCACGGUGUAGCAGUGAAAUGCGUGGAUAUCGUGAGGAACACUCGUGGCGAAAGCGAGCUACUGGACAACAACUGACGCUGAGGCUCGAAGGCCAGGGGAGCGAAAGGGAUUAGAUACCCUGGUAGU
rnacentral:rRNA from 1 species